rnacentral:rRNA from 1 species
UACGUAGGAUGCAAGCGUUGUCCGGAAUUAUUGGGCGUAAAGAGCGCGCAGGCGGUUCGUCAAGUCAGAUGUGAAAUAUCCCGGCUUAACCGGGAGGGGCCAUUUGAAACUGACGGACUAGAGUGGAGCAGAGGAUAGUGGAAUUCCCGGUGUAGUGGUGAAAUGCGUAGAUAUCGGGAGGAACACCAGUGGCGAAGGCGACUAUCUGGGCUUUAACUGACGCUGAGGCGCGAAGGCCGGGGGAGCAAACAGG